CCCAGGUUUGUUUUGCAUGUUAACUCUGUGUUAACGCUGCCCCUAAGUGGUUAAGUUGGUUUAUUGCAAGUUAAUUAGCCCUCAUUUCAGGCAGUUAUUUAUUUAUAUGUCAAAGGCUGUCAUGUUUUUCCUCUUUCGGCUUCGUGAGUAGGCCUCGCGUCUCUUUCUAGUGUGUGUUUGCAUCCUGCUCUGUGUGGGUUUCGCACAACCACAACAUUUACAGUCAGCUCGGCUCGGAAAAUAUGCAUAGAGGGAAACAUGGAUGCCUACUACAUGUUUAUUGCUCGAUCCAAGAGAGGCUGUGAUCCUCUUAGCAGGCUCCUCUCCCCCAGCUCGUUUUAAUUAGCAUUUCAAGCGCUGCUCGGUACAGCAAGCUGGUGAGGCCUCAAGUUCUGGUGGGCUGCUUUUCGCCUCUUUGCCCCUGAAUUAAUGGGCUACCUCGCAGCUGUUUGGCGCCUGGGCACUGCCUGCCCUUUUGCAAGACGUGUUGAUGCUUCUCCUCGUGCUCCCAUCCCUCCUGUUAGAGGGGUGCUGCUGGAGGACAGGCUCUAAAAUUCCUGUCUAAGACACCGCUAAAAACGAAGAGCAGUGAAUCUUCAGGAGGGUCUCCAGCCUUCGGCACAGAGCACAGGCGGCUUUUCCUUCGUGCCCUUCACCUUGAACGAGCGACAUUUGUCUCCUGACCCCUUUGCUCGUGAGCAUGCAGACCGGAGUCCGGGGAGGCGUCUCGCUGCCUCCAGCUCUGUGCAUCCACACGUUACCUCCUCGCAGCGCAUCCCAGCGCCGGGGCUCGGAGGGAGAUGUCCAGCCCUUCAGAGCUGGUGCUGGGGGGCUGGAGGGGGGCGAGCAGGCAUCCUGCCUUCCCCAGUGCCCUGCAGGAGCUGCUCAGGGUGGAGUGCUCUGCUCUGCAGAGGAGCGAGGGCUGCCUUCAUCCCAGCCUUGCACAGCACGGUUGGACACAGCAUUAAGGAGUCCAGGCACUGGGAUGCGAAAUCGGGCGCUACGGGCAGUGGGAGAUGAGCUCGGUCAUCCGAAAAAACCUUCAGGAGGGCAUCGCCGAGGGCAGCCCUACAGGAUCCCUGCUCCUCUGCUUCCUAAAAGCCUGCCACCACGUCUCUGCAGGGCUGUGUUUCUGAUCGGGGCUGGGAAAGUCUACGUGAAAGCUCAGGGACUACCUUAAAUACCCCUAACCAAGCCUUCUUAAAACUCCUAUUAAAAUACAAACACCGCAGUCAAGACGGCAGGCUGGAGAUCUGCCCAGUGGCCAAAUAAAUCAAAAUAUUACACUGUUUGCAAGCGCCCAUUAAAAUCUGACAACUGGCUAGUUCCCAAGGCAGCGUGGAUCUGAAAGA